AUCAGGCUCAGGAUGAACGCUAGCUACAGGCUUAACACAUGCAAGUCGAGGGGCAUCGGGAAGAAAGCUUGCUUUCUUUGCUGGCGACCGGCGCACGGGUGAGUAACACGUAUCCAACCUGCCCUUUACUCGGGGAUAGCCUUUACGAAAGAAAGAUUAAUACCCGAUAGCAUAAUGAUUCCGCAUGGUUUCAUUAUUAAAGGAUUCCGGUAAAGGAGUGGGGAUGCGUUCCAUUAGGUUGUUGGUGAGGUACG
rnacentral:rRNA from 1 species